rnacentral:rRNA from 1 species
CCUACGGGAGGCAGCAGUGGGGGAUAUUGCACAAUGGGGGAAACCCUGAUGCAGCGACGCCGCGUGGGUGAAGAAGCGCCUCGGCGCGUAAAGCCCUGUCAGCAGGGAAGAAAAUGACGGUACCUGAAGAAGAAGCCCCGGCUAACUACGUGCCAGCAGCCGCGGUAAUACGUAGGGGGAAGGGUUAUCCGGGAUUUACGGGGGGAAAGGGGGGGGAGAGGGGGAUGCAAGCCAGGAGUGAAAGCCCGGGGCCCAACCCCGGGACUGCUCUUGGAACUGCGUGGCUAGAGUGCAGGAGGGGCAGGCGGAAUUCCUGGUGUAGCGGUGAAAUGCGUAGAUAUCAGGAGGAACACCGGUGGCGAAGGCGGCCUGCUGGACUGCAACUGACGUUGAGGCCCGAAAGCGUGGGGAGCAAACAGGAUUAGAUACCCUUGUAGUC